CAAAGAAAUAAGAGGAUAUUCUGUGAACCCAGGAAAUUCUAUUAUGUACAAAUUUUCUUACAAGAGAGUAACAACAUUGAUGUCUGUCUUUUGCAAGCUCCUUUUUGUUUUCUUUUGUGUAAUGUUUUAUUGAUGCUUCUUUUUCUUUUAUUACUUCUACUACUUCCAAGCUAGGUUGAAACAGCUAAGUGGCACAGUAGAUAAGAGUGCUAGACCUGAAGUCAGGGAGAUCCUCUUCCUAAGCUCAAAUCUGGCCUCAGAUACUUACUGGCUGUGUGUCUCUUAUCCCUGUUUGCCUCAGUUCCUCAACUAUAAAAAAAUAGCUGAAGAAGGAAUGGCAAACUACUCCAGUAUCUCUGCCAAGAAAAUCCCAAAUGGUCAUGAAGAGUCAGAUAUGACUAAAAUGACUGAACAACAAAUUACUGCCCACCAAUCAUGUCUUCUCUUCCUCUCCCAAAGAGCCCUACUUUGAAACAAAUAAAUAUAUACAAGUAAAACAUGUCUACACAUUGGAAAACAACAUCUCAUUCUGUAUCUCUAGUUCCUCAGCUAUCUGUUAUCUAUCAAUUUCAGUCUUCUAAAAUUAUAAUUGGCCAAUGUAUUGAUCAGAGUUCUGAAGCCUUUCUAAAUUGCAUUCCUUUAUAGUAUCAGUGUAAGUCUAAUUAUUCUCCUAGUUCUGCUUAUUUCACUCUGUAUCAGUUCAUACAAGUCUUACCAAAGUUCUCUGAAUCCUUCACACUUAUUCCUUGUUCCCUAUGAUGCAAUAAUACUUCAUUACAUUCUUGUAUUACAAUUUGCUUAGUUCUCAAGUUGAUGGGUACUCAUCCUUUAUAAGAAGUACUCUCUCCAUGACCUGGAUUCCAAGAGGCACUCCAGGAAUGAGGAUCAUUUGUACCAAGGCAUUUUUAUGCCUUUGAUUAUGGUGGAUAGCAAGUGGAUCUGUUUGGUCAUCUCUAUAGAGAGAGUGCAUGAAGGAGGAGAAUCAUGUCCAAAAAGCCUGGAAAGUCAUUAAAAUCCAGUGGCAAGACAAAAGGCAGGGAGCCUAGCAAUGCAACAGGAUGCAAUGGAUAUUGGCAUACAUCUGACCAAGCUCUAAGAUCUCCACAACUACUGCUUCAAAAUGCCUUCAUGGCUGUUGGAACAAAUUCUUCUCAUUUGUCCCUUCCUAUUUAGAUGGUGUUCUGGACUCGCUCCCCCGUACCCCUCCUUCAAAGGCAGUGGAAACUCCCGUCCCAGAAGACGACAAAAUGACUUUCCAUGGCCUGAAUAAUGUGUUGAGGCGGUUUUGAGCAACAGCCCCGCCCCCUACCCCAGAAAGUUCUGUUUUGUUUGGAUGGGGAAGGAAGUCAGGACAUUUAAAGAAAUAAAAUGAAGUUUGGAGGUUUUUUGACA
ensembl:lncRNA